AGUGAACGCUGGCGGCAGGCCUAACACAUGCAAGUCGAACGGCAGCACAAGAGAGCUUGCUCUCUGGGUGGCGAGUGGCGGACGGGUGAGGAAUGCAUCGGAAUCUGCCCAUUUGUGGGGGAUAACCUCGGGAAACCGGGACUAAUACCGCAUACGACCUACGGGUGAAAGCAGGGGCUCUUCGGACCUUGCGCAGAUGGAUGAGCCGAUGCCGGAUUAGCUAGUUGGAGGGGUAACGGCCCACCAAGGCGACGAUCGGUAGCUGGUCUGAGAGGAUGAUCAGCAACACUGGGACGGGGACACGCCCCAGACUCCUACGGGAGGCAGCAGUGGGGAAUAUUGGACAGUGGGCGCAAGCCUGUUCCAGGCAUUCCGCGUGUGUGAAGAAGGCCUUCGGGUUGUAAAGCACUUUUGUUGGGAAAGAAAAGCAGCCGGUUAAUACCCGGUUGUCAUGACGGUACCCAAAGAAUAAGCACCGGCUAACUUCGUG
rnacentral:rRNA from 1 species